rnacentral:rRNA from 1 species
UGGGGAAUUUUGGACAAUGGGGGAAACCCUGAUCCAGCAAUGCCGCGUGUGUGAAGAAGGCCUUCGGGUUGUAAAGCACUUUUGUCCGGAAAGAAAACCUUUGGGCUAAUACCCUGAGGGGAUGACGGUACCGGAAGAAUAAGCACCGGCUAACUACGUGCCAGCAGCCGCGGUAAUACGUAGGGUGCGAGCGUUAAUCGGAAUUACUGGGCGUAAAGCGUGCGCAGGCGGUUCGUUAAGACAGAUGUGAAAUCCCCGGGCUUAACCUGGGAACUGCAUUCGUGACUGGCGAGCUAGAGUAUGGCAGAGGGGGGUAGAAUUCCACGUGUAGCAGUGAAAUGCGUAGAGAUGUGGAGGAAUACCGAUGGCGAAGGCAGCCCCCUGGGCCAAUACUGACGCUCAUGCACGAAAGCGUGGGGAGCAAA